UACGUAGGGUGCAAGCGUUAAUCGGAAUUACUGGGCGUAAAGCGUGCGCAGGCGGUCUGUUAAGACCGAUGUGAAAUCCCCGGGCUUAACCUGGGAACUGCAUUGGUGACUGGCAGGCUUUGAGUGUGGCAGAGGGAGGUAGAAUUCCACGUGUAGCAGUGAAAUGCGUAGAGAUGUGGAGGAAUACCGAUGGCGAAGGCAGCCUCCUGGGCCAACACUGACGCUCAUGCACGAAAGCGUGGGGAGC
rnacentral:rRNA from 1 species